rnacentral:rRNA from 1 species
AGUGAACCCUGGCGGUAGGCCUAACACAUGCAAGUCGAACGGCAGCACAGUAAGAGCUUGCUCUUACGGGUGGCGAGUGGCGGACGGGUGAGGAAUACAUCGGAAUCUACUUUUUCGUGGGGGAUAACGUAGGGAAACUUACGCUAAUACCGCAUACGACCUACGGGUGAAAGCAGGGGAUCUUCGGACCUUGCGCGAUUGAAUGAGCCGAUGUCGGAUUAGCUAGUUGGCGGGGUAAAGGCCCACCAAGGCGACGAUCCGUAGCUGGUCUGAGAGGAUGAUCAGCCACACUGGAACUGAGACACGGUCCAGACUCCUACGGGAGGCAGCAGUGGGGAAUAUUGGACAAUGGGCGCAAGCCUGAUCCAGCCAUACCGCGUGGGUGUAGAAGGCCUUCGGGUUGUAAAGCCCUUUUGUUGGGAAAGAAAAGCAGCAGGUUAAUACCCCGCUGUUCUGACGGUACCCAAAGAAUAAGCACCGGCUAACUUCGUG